AACGAACGUUGGCGGCGUGGAUGAGGCAUGCAAGUCGAACGUGAAAACCUUCGGGUGAGUAGCGUGGCGGACGGGCGAGUAACACGUAAUCAAGCUACCUGCUAGACGGGGAUAACUUCGGGAAACCGAUCGUAAGACCCGAUGGGCUCACGACACCGCAUGGUGAUGUGAGUAAAUGGACGGGACCCUCCGGGCCGGUCUGCUAGUGGAGGUGAUUGCGGCCCAUCAGCUUGUUGGUAGGGUAAUGGCCUACCAAGGCUACGACGGGUAGCCGGCCUAAGAGGGUGGCCGGUCGCACUGGGACUGAGACACUGCCCAGACUCCUACGGGAGGCUGCAGUCGAGAAUCUUCCGCAAUGGACGAAAGUCUGACGGAGCGACGCCGCGUGGAGGACGAAGGCC
rnacentral:rRNA from 1 species